UUUUCCUACUUUACUUUGUUACUGUUUUUUUUUUUCAACUCUUUAUUCAGAUCAAGAGCUGGGUGCUGCUGCCUAAUGUCACACUAGACUAGAGCGUUGCAAGACAAGCAACGGCGCAGGCGCAAACCCUCGAGCAGUCGGGCCGAUUUCAGUCCAUAAACUGUUCACGGUCGGUACGGUGAUUUGAAUGUCUGUCUCAAAUGCAAGGAUGCAGGUCAGUGCAUGUGCAGCUCCUGGUGUGUCUCAGAAGAUAACUGAAAGGAACCUCUCAUCGGGGAGCAAGCAUGGGCUGCACAGUACCUCCCUCGGAUAACUGGGAGGUAGCCCCCCUGGGUGGCUGUGGUGCCUCAGAUACCCGCAGGGCUCCAUGGGAGAUGGAGUUCUCCACAACCCUGUUGAGAUCCAGGGUGGCCACCAGGAGGCACUGCAGGGAAUCCUGGGCCCGUCUAGGCCAUAGUUCAACCACACCUGGCAGUGUAAUCGGGCCAGCAGCCACCACUCCGAGAGCCUGAGUCGGGAGGAGGAGGACAACGCUUGCUGGGAGGAGUGGUGGUGAAGAUCAGUGUGUUUUGUGUAGUGCUUGUGGUGCUUUUGGGACUGUGUACUGCCUGUGGGACACGGGGAAGACGUGCCCCACAGGUGAAGAAAAAUAAAAGUUUA